GAUGAACGCUAGCGGCAGGCUUAAUACAUGCAAGUCGAGGGGCAGCAGGACUGUAGCAAUACAGUUGCUGGCGACCGGCAAACGGGUGCGGAACACGUACGCAACCUACCCAAAACUGGGGGAUAGCCCGGGGAAACCCGGAUUAAUACCUCGUAACCUUUUUAAGUGGCAUCACUUGAUAAGUAUAGCUCCGGCGGUUUUGGAUGGGCGUGCGCCUGAUUAGGUAGUUGGUGCGGGUAACGGCCCACCAAGCCUGCGAUCAGUAACUGGUGUGAGAGCACGACCAGUCACACGGGCACUGAGACACGGGCCCGACUCCUACGGGAGGCAGCAGUAAGGAAUAUUGGCCAAUGGACGCAAGUCUGAACCAGCCAUGCCGCGUGAAGGAUGAAGGUCCUCUGGAUUGUAAACUUCUUUUAUGGGGGACGAAACCCGGAUAUUCUUAUCCGAUUGACGGUACCUCGGGAAUAAGCACCGGCUAACUCCGUG
rnacentral:rRNA from 1 species